CGCCAGCUUCCCGCCCACCGCGGCUUUGCAGCCGAAUGCACACCGGCUCUGCUGCAACCUCUACCUCCUGCCUCUUGUUCUUCUUUAAAAAGCCAGGUGGCGCCAACUCUCAACCCCUGCUAGAGCUGAAGCAUUUCCAGGCUUGCUCAGAGUGGAGCGAAGAGACGGUUGGAAGAGCACAGCUCGGAUUGGCGCUUUCUCUCUGCGCCCUCCGCCGCGUGGAAGCCUUUUCUUCUGCACCCCUCUCAGGAUGACUGCAACCCUAAAGGAAAGCGGAGUGUCCUGUGUGCCACAUGGAGCUUGGGGAAAGGAAAUGAUUAAAGCCGUGAGGUUUCCUGGCUCUUCGCGGUGUUUACGGCUGACUGCAGAAUAAAGCAACACAGAGUGGUAUGGAAUGGAAUGAGAUCAAGGAAGGACUCCGCAUACUAAGGAGCCAGACCUUGAUGUAGAUUAUUUCAAAAUGUUCUCCACUGCAUCCCCAAGCUGGCUAUCUUGCACGACUUAAUGUGAUUCAACAGAAUUGAAACAUCAGAGCACAUGUAGCUUUCAAAAUUCAGACUGACCAUUUCAGCCAUAAACGUUCUCCAAACCAGAGGGAAGUGGGCUUGGAUCUAUGCUACUGCCAAGUCUCCUCUAUUGCUGGUAAUUUUCCUCUCUGUGGAAAAGAAGGCUUGAAGAAAAAGAAAAUGACGCUCCUUUCGCACCUAGGAGGACAGACAUUUGCCCAUGCAUCAAAAGACUUGCCUUCAUCUGGGCUGGAUGUCUGUACCAGGCUGGAUAGUUUCUUCUAAAAUUCAUGUCCACCUGGAUGGAGCCUGUGAAAGCAACCUUAUUUGGCAAUUAGAUCUUUCAGACAUCACCAAACUAAGAUGAGCUCACAUCGGAUUGAUUCAACAUGACUGGUGUCCUAUAAGGGCAGGGAAAUUCAGACACGCUGAGAAGGCCAUGAGAAGGUGGAGGUGGAGACUGGAGGGGUGCAUCUGCAAGCCAAGGAAUGCCGAGGAUAGCUAGCAUCUUCAGAAGCCAGGAGAGGUGAGAAAUAAUGCUUCUGCAGAGGCUUCAAAGGGAACAGU